UCCUCUUCAUCAUCAUUAUCAUUAUUGGGUGAAGCUGGAUCAUGUAUACUUCUGGCUCGGCAUGAUGUGGUGGCAAGCAUAGUCACUUGACCAUGAUUAGAAAUUUCCACAACAACUGUAUCAUCAUCAACUGGGAGUGGUUGUUUCCAAGGCUCCCCAUCAAUUCUCAUGAAUGUGUGGUCAGCUGCACCCUUCCGGAACUCAAAACGAGUUCUACUUGCCUGUGCAAGACGAGUCCCAUGUCCAUUUGGAGCAAGCAGAACAAGCCCAUGCCAAGCAUUCCUAAAACCAACAACCUCAAUAAGGCUAUCAUCUACGUAAGGAGGUGUUAAGUCCCGAUCACGCAGUUUCUUCCCACUGGGCUUUCCCCAGGGAUUGAGUCCACCUGAAAAACUGGGCAAGUUGAGGCAAACAAU
rnacentral:misc_RNA from 1 species